rnacentral:rRNA from 1 species
AAUCAACGCUGGCGGCGCGCUUAACACAUGCAAGUCGAACGAGAAAGUUCCCUUCGGGGAGCGAGUACAGUGGCGAACGGGUGAGUAACACGUGGGUUACCUGCCCUCGAGUGGGGAAUAACCCUGGGAAACCGGGGCUAAUACCGCAUACGCUCUACGGAGGAAAGUUUUAUAUGCUCGAGGAUGGGCCCGCGGUCGAUUAGCUUGUUGGUAAGGUAAUGGCUCACCAAGGCAACGAUCGAUAGCCGGCCUGAGAGGGCACACGGCCACACUGGCACUGAGACACGGGCCAGACCCCUACGGGAGGCAGCAGUGGGGAAUCUUGGACAAUGGGGGAAACCCUGAUCCAGCGACGCCGCGUGAUCGAUGAAGGCCUUCGGGUCGUAAAGAUCUUUCAGCGGGGACUAUAAUGAAGGUACCCGCAGAAGCAGGAGCGGCUAACUACGUGCCAGCAGCCGCGGUAAUACGUAGGCUCCAAGCGUUGUUCGGAAUUACUGGGCGUAAAGCGAGUGUAGGCGGUCCGUCAAGUCGGUUGUGAAAUCUCCUGGCUCAACUGGGAGGGUGCAAUCGAAACUG